rnacentral:ribozyme from 1 species
GCUGCUCUAAUAAUCACACACCUCUACGUGGUGAGCAGUGGGCAACGUCUAUUGACGGCUAAGAAUGUGAAA